rnacentral:rRNA from 1 species
AGAGUUUGAUCCUGGCUCAGAUUGAACGCUGGCGGCAUGCUUUACACAUGCAAGUCGGACGGCAGCACAGAGAAGCUUGCUUCUCGGGUGGCGAGUGGCGAACGGGUGAGUAACAUAUCGGAACGUACCGAGUAGUGGGGGAUAACUGAUCGAAAGAUCAGCUAAUACCGCAUACGUCUUGAGAGAGAAAGCAGGGGACCUUUGGGCCUUGCGCUAUUCGAGCGGCCGAUAUCUGAUUAGCUGGUUGGUGGGGUAAAGGCCUACCAAGGCGACGAUCAGUAGCGGGUCUGAGAGGAUGAUCCGCCACACUGGGACUGAGACACGGCCCAGACUCCUACGGGAGGCAGCAGUGGGGAAUUUUGGACAAUGGGCGCAAGCCUGAUCCAGCCAUGCCGCGUGUCUGAAGAAGGCCUUCGGGUUGUAAAGGACUUUUGUCAGGGAAGAAAAGGCUGUUGCUAAUAUCAGCGGCUGAUGACGGUACCUGAAGAAUAAGCACCGGCUAACUACGUGCCAGCAGCCGCGGUAAUACGUAGGGUGCGAGCGUUAAUCGGAAUUACUGGGCGUAAAGCGGGCGCAGACGGUUACUUAAGCAGGAUGUGAAAUCCCCGGGCUCAACCCGGGAACUGCGUUCUGAACUGGGUGACUCGAGUGUGUCAGAGGGAGGUAGAAUUCCACGUGUAGCAGUGAAAUGCGUAGAGAUGUGGAGGAAUACCGAUGGCGAAGGCAGCCUCCUGGGAUAACACUGACGUUCAUGCCCGAAAGCGUGGGUAGCAAACAGGAUUAGAUACCCUGGUAGUCCACGCCCUAAACGAUGUCAAUUAGCUGUUGGGCAACUUGAUUGCUUAGUAGCGUAGCUAACGCGUGAAAUUGACCGCCUGGGGAGUACGGUCGCAAGAUUAAAACUCAAAGGAAUUGACGGGGACCCGCACAAGCGGUGGAUGAUGUGGAUUAAUUCGAUGCAACGCGAAGAACCUUACCUGGUCUUGACAUGUACGGAAUCCUCCG